CAGCAGUCCAAGAUAUUAGUCAAUGCUCGAAAGAGUGAACUAGCUAACUGAAAUCAAUUAUAAUAAUUGAUAACAUAAGGGAAAAUAAUGAUAUUACCUUAUUAUUAGUGUCGUCCAAAACUGGUGCCAGAAGACUCGGUAAGGCCAGAGACACAAACGUUAAUCGUCUUAAUCAGGCGUAAAGGGUUUGUAGGCGGCUUUAAAAUUUAAGUUAAUAACAAAUAUUAAGUAAAGAAUAAAAGCUAGAAUCAAAUAGAGGAUAUAUGAAAGAAUGCUUAGAGUAGGUCUGAUAUCCUUAGAUACUAAGUAGAAUAUUAAAGGCGAAAGCUUUUUUCCAUUAAUGAUUGACGCUCAGAAACGAAGGUGAGGAUAGGAAAUAGGAUUAGAUACCCAGAAUACCCCUCUCUGUCAACGAUGAAUGGUAGUUAUUAGUAACAAAUUAUUAAUGGCAAUGUUAACACGAUAACCAUUCCGCCUUGUGAGUACAACUGCAAAGUUGAAAACAAAAAAAUUAGUCGGUUUCGGAGCAAACGAAGUGAAGCAUGUUAUUUAAUUCGAUAAUCCG
rnacentral:rRNA from 1 species